rnacentral:ribozyme from 1 species
UGCCCAGCAACUCCUAUCCCUACCUACACGCGGUACCGGCCGGAAACUAUGAGCAACCUUAGGGAAGAUCGGGUUUGGUCAUAAGUUGACAGGGAGAG